AAAACCCGCUGGGCCAGUUGCCGGGACCAAUACGGCGGGAGGUGUCAAGUAAAGGCCGGAGUGGGGAGGGUACCUCAAGGAAGCGGCCCUAAAUCUACACUGCCCAGUUGCAGUUUUUAACACCUGUUAUGGAUUUGAGGCCAUAACACUGAGGCGGAUAAAUUGAUUACUUCAAGUUCAUCCUGUCCUUUUUGUAUCUCACUGGAUACCGGCGGUUUUCCGUGUUUUCGACCCGCCCUCAGUUUUUUUAAACCGCUUUGUGUGAAGCAGGUUCUUGACUUUGUGAGAUCUGCGGCAAUGACGAGUACUGCGGAUAGUCUGAAUCCCUCAGAAGAAUCCGACACGGCUGGGAGUGAAACCCCUGCCAUUUUCCCCCCAGCAACCAGUCCAGCACCUACGUCGGCAGAGGACCCAGAGGACUCAACACUGGCCCAGGCCCCCCUACCACUGGCCAGUCCACCCUGUAUUAUUCACCCCCAGCCCAGACGUCACCGCCAAGUCCCUCCCUCUACCUCUGGGCAAGAGAGUUGUGAAGUUAUUGACGCACGCAUCAUAGAUUUUCUUGCCCAGAGGAGGAGUGAUGGUGUGAAGGAGAAGAUGUUAAGGGGACUAGGGCCUCUAAUGAAGCAGGUAUCUCCGAACGAGCAUCACGAGUGCCUGGCUUCAUUAGCAGUAGUACUCAAAAUGUUUGCUAUACCCAACCAUGGCGACAUUCUUGGAAAAUUAAAUGGGAUGAAAAUUGAAUUAGAGAAUGCCGGCCAGCACCAAAGACCCGGACCCUUUCAAUUUCCACCCCAAACCACCCAAGGGCCUUCUUUUCCCCCACACCCCCAGUAUGGCCUACCCCAGGGGCAAAUGCAAGAUGUGGGUCAGCCACUUUACCUGGGCAGUUUGCCAACUGGGUCACCACAGCAGGCCCAUGUAAGGCCACGGUCCUCUUUUCCAGCUGGUUCCUUUACUCAGGACCUUCUGGAUUUGUGAAUUUAUUUUAUUAUAAUAGUUUUUUCACCUUUAUUUGCUUGGUGCAUAAUGUUCAAAC